rnacentral:rRNA from 1 species
UCGAGGAUCUUCGGCAAUGGGCGCAAGCCUGACCGAGCGACGCCGCGUGUGCGAUGAAGGCCUUCGGGUUGUAAAGCACUGUCGAGGGGGAGGAAGCCCGCAAGGGUUGACCUAUCCCUGGAGGAAGCACGGGCUAAGUUCGUGCCAGCAGCCGCGGUAAGACGAACCGUGCGAACGUUGUUCGGAUUCACUGGGCUUAAAGGGCGCGUAGGCGGGUGGUCAAGUCAGAGGUGAAAUCCUCCAGCUUAACUGGAGAAGUGCCCCUGAUACUGGCCAUCUCGAGGGAGGUAGGGGCAUGUGGAACUUCCGGUGGAGCGGUGAAAUGCGUAGAUAUCGGAAGGAACGCCGGUGGCGAAAGCGACGUGCUGGACCUCUUCUGACGCUGAGGCGCGAAAGCUAGGGGAGCAAACGGGAUUAGAUACCCCGGUAGUCCUAGCCCUAAACGAUGGGUACUAGGUUGUGGACUGAUCAUGGGUUCACAGCCGAAGCAAAGGUGUUAAGUACCCCGCCUGGGGAGUAUGGUCGCAAGGCUGA